rnacentral:rRNA from 1 species
CCUAGGGUGGCACCAGUGGGGAAUAUUGGGCAAUGGGCGCAAGCCUGACCCAGCAACGCCGCGUGAGGGAAGAAUGUCUUCGGAUUGUAAACCUCUGUCCUUGGGGACGAAAAAAAUGACGGUACCCAAGGAGGAAGCUCCGGCUAACUACGUGCCAGCAGCCGCGGUAAUACGUAGGGAGCAAGCGUUGUCCGGAAUUAUUGGGCGGAAAGGGUGCGUAGGCGGCGCUGUAAGUCAGAUGUGAAAUCCCCGGGCUUAACUCGGGAGUUGCAUUUGAAACUACAGUGCUUGAGUAAAGAAGGGGUAAGUGGAAUUCCUAGUGUAGCGGUGGAAUGCGUAGAUAUUAGGAGGAACACCAGUGGCGAAGGCGACUUACUGGUCUUUUACUGACGCUGAGGCACGAAAGCGUGGGGAGCAAACAGGAUUAGAUACCCUUGUAGUC